rnacentral:rRNA from 1 species
GACGAACGCCGGCGGCGUGCCUAAUACAUGCAAGUAGAACGCUGAAGAGAGGAGCUUGCUCUUCUUGGAUGAGUUGCGAACGGGUGAGUAACGCGUAGGUAACCUGCCUUGUAGCGGGGGAUAACUAUUGGAAACGAUAGCUAAUACCGCAUAACAAUAGGUGACACAUGUCAUUUAUUUGAAAGGGGCAAUUGCUCCACUACAAGAUGGACCUGCGUUGUAUUAGCUAGUAGGUGAGGUAACGGCUCACCUAGGCGACGAUACAUAGCCGACCUGAGAGGGUGAUCGGCCACACUGGGACUGAGACACGGCCCAGACUCCUACGGGAGGCAGCAGUAGGGAAUCUUCGGCAAUGGGGGCAACCCUGACCGAGCAACGCCGCGUGAGUGAAGAAGGUUUUCGGAUCGUAAAGCUCUGUUGUAAGUCAAGAACGAGUGUGAGAGUGGAAAGUUCACACUGUGACGGUAGCUUACCAGAAAGGGACGGCUAACUACGUGCCAGCAGCCGCGGUAAUACGUAGGUCCCGAGCGUUGUCCGGAUUUAUUGGGCGUAAAGCGAGCGCAGGCGGUUUGAUAAGUCUGAAGUUAAAGGCUGUGGCUCAACCAUAGUUCGCUUUGGAAACUGUCAAACUUGAGUGCAGAAGGGGAGAGUGGAAUUCCAUGUGUAGCGGUGAAAUGCGUAGAUAUAUGGAGGAACACCGGUGGCGAAAGCGGCUCUCUGGUCUGUAACUGACGCUGAGGCUCGAAAGCGUGGGGAGCGAACAGGAUUAGAUACCCUGGCAGUCCACGCCGUAAACGAUGAGUGCUAGGUGUUGGAUCCUUUCCGGGAUUCAGUGCCGCAGCUAACGCAUUAAGCACUCCGCCUGGGGAGUACGACCGCAAGGUUGAAACUCAAAGGAAUUGACGGGGGCCCGCACAAGCGGUGGAGCAUGUGGUUUAAUUCGAAGCAACGCGAAGAACCUUACCAGGUCUUGACAUCCCGAUGCUAUUUCUAGAGAUAGAAAGUUACUUCGGUACAUCGGUGACAGGUGGUGCAUGGUUGUCGUCAGCUCGUGUCGUGAGAUGUUGGGUUAAGUCCCGCAACGAGCGCAACCCCUAUUGUUAGUUGCCAUCAUUCAGUUGGGCACUCUAGCGAGACUGCCGGUAAUAAACCGGAGGAAGGUGGGGAUGACGUCAAAUCAUCAUGCCCCUUAUGACCUGGGCUACACACGUGCUACAAUGGUUGGUACAACGAGUUGCGAGUCGGUGACGGCAAGCUAAUCUCUUAAAGCCAAUCUCAGUUCGGAUUGUAGGCUGCAACUCGCCUACAUGAAGUCGGAAUCGCUAGUAAUCGCGGAUCAGCACGCCGCGGUGAAUACGUUCCCGGGCCU